CUUCGGUGCUAGUGGCAGACGGGUGAGUAACACGUGGGAACGUACCUUUCGGUUCGGAAUAAUUCAGGGAAACUUGGACUAAUACCGGAUACGCCCUUCGGGGGAAAGAUUUAUCGCCGAUAGAUCGGCCCGCGUCUGAUUAGCUAGUUGGUGAGGUAAAGGCUCACCAAGGCGACGAUCAGUAGCUGGUCUGAGAGGAUGAUCAGCCACAUUGGGACUGAGACACGGCCCAAACUCCUACGGGAGGCAGCAGUGGGGAAUAUUGGACAAUGGGCGCAAGCCUGAUCCAGCCAUGCCGCGUGAGUGAUGAAGGCCUUAGGGUUGUAAAGCUCUUUUGUCCGGGAAGAUAAUGACUGUACCGGAAGAAUAAGCCCCGGCUAACUUCGUGCCAGCAGCCGCGGUAAUACGAAGGGGGCUAGCGUUGCUCGGAAUCACUGGGCGUAAAGGGCGCGUAGGCGGACUUUUAAGUCGGAGGUGAAAGCCCAGGGCUCAACCCUGGAAUUGCCUUCGAUACUGGGAGUCUUGAGUUCGGAAGAGGUUGGUGGAACUGCGAGUGUAGAGGUGAAAUUCGUAGAUAUUCGCAAGAACACCGGUGGCGAAGGCGGCCAAUGGUCCGAAAC
rnacentral:rRNA from 1 species